UGGGGAAUUUUGCACAAUGGGGGAAACCCUGAUGCAGCGACGCCGCGUGAUUUAGAAGGCCUUCGGGUUGUAAAAAUCUUUUCUAUGGGAAGAAAAUGACAGUACCAUAGGAAUAAGGACCGGCUAAUUACGUGUCAGCAGCCGCGGUAAUACGUAAGGUCCGAGCGUUGUCCGGAAUCAUUGGGCGUAAAGGGUACGUAGGCGGGUAAGCAAGUUAGAAGUGAAAUCCUAUAGCUCAACUAUAGUAAGCUUUUAAAACUGCUCAUCUUGAGGUAUGGAAGGGAAAGUGGAAUUCCUAGUGUAGCGGUGAAAUGCGCAGAUAUUAGGAGGAAUACCGGUGGCGAAGGCGACUUUCUGGCCAUAACCUGACGCUGAGGUACGAAAGCGUGGGUAGCAAACAGG
rnacentral:rRNA from 1 species